AAAUCCAAGUCAGAUCUAAAAAAAAUUAAAAUGAAGCAAUUAAAAUAAAUAAUUAAGAUAGAAAAAAUAUUUAAAUAAAUCAAAGAUUUGGAUAAUUAAACAGGAAAAAAAUAAAAUAAAGAAGAUAGCUGGAAGAAGAUAAAUAUGGCGUGUAGAAGUCCUAAGGAGUCUUGGAAAUCCGAUGAAUCCAUAACCCUCUUCAAACGACUCUAAUUCCC
rnacentral:lncRNA from 1 species